UAUGCAGAUACUUUAUAAUUUGGAUUAAAUAAAUGAGCAUGACAGGAUAUUCUGAUGAUGGUUGUGAAAUGAUUGUGUGACACCCUUCGGGGCAUAAUUACUCUGAUUGAUAUGUUGCUAUUUUAAUUGAAAUAUUUGGGGUAUUUUAGAAGGGUGUUACAUUAGUGGUAUCAGAGCAUAGUCGGUCGUGUCGAGUCGUAAUUAUUUUGUUU
rnacentral:lncRNA from 1 species